UAGGGAAUCUUCGGCAAUGGACGGAAGUCUGACCGAGCAGCGCCGCGUGAGUGAAGAAGGUUUUCGGAUCGUAAAGCUCUGUUGUAAGAGAAGAACGAGUGUGAGAGUGGAAAGUUCACACUGUGACGGUAUCUUACCAGAAAGGGACGGCUAACUACGUGCCAGCAGCCGCGGUAAUACGUAGGUCCCGAGCGUUAUCCGGAUUUAUUGGGCGUAAAGCGAGCGCAGGCGGUUAGAUAAGUCUGAAGUUAAAGGCUGUGGCUUAACCAUAGUACGCUUUGGAAACUGUUUAACUUGAGUGCAGAAGGGGAGAGUGGAAUUCCAUGUGUAGCGGUGAAAUGCGUAGAUAUAUGGAGGAACACCGGUGGCGAAAGCGGCUCUCUGGUCUGUAACUGACGCUGAGGCUCGAAAGCGUGGGGAGCAAACAGGAUUAGAUACCCUGGUAGUCCACGCCGUAAACGAUGAGUGCUAGGUGUUGGGUCCUUUCCGGGACUCAGUGCCGCAGCUAACGCAUUAAGCACUCCGCCUGGGGAGUACGACCGCAAGGUUG
rnacentral:rRNA from 1 species